AUUGAACGCUGGCGGCAGGCCUAACACAUGCAAGUCGAACGAGUGGCGGACGGGUGCGUAAUGUCUGGGAAACUGCCUGAUGGCGGGGGAUAACUACUGGAAACGGUAGCUAAUACCGCAUACCAUCGGAUGUUCCCAGAUGGGAUUAGCUCGUAGGUGGGGUAACGGCUCACAACGGCGACGAUCCCUAGCUGGUCUGAGAGGAUGACCAGCCACACUGGAACUGAGACACGGUCCAGACUCCUACGGGAGGCCGCAGUGGGGAAGAUUGCACAAUGGGCGCAAGCCUGAUGCAGCCAUGCCGCGUGUGUGAAGAAGGCCUGCGGGUUGUAAAGCACUUUCAGCGGGGAGGCGUUACCCGCAGAAGAAGCACCGGCUAACUCCGUGCCAGCAGCCGCGGUAAUUC
rnacentral:rRNA from 1 species